AUAUAUACGUAUGUAUAGGUGUUCGUAAGUAUCCAGGAGCCACGAUCAGAAAUUCCAGGAGUGGUUGUGGCCUUAUAACGUUAAACUAUAUACCGCUGCAACUGUAUAUCCUCUACGCAUCGGCUGUAGUGUUGAAAUUUCCAAAAGACGCGUUGAAAAUUUUUAAGGAAAUUGAACGGAAUUGAGAUAAGACAUUUGUUACCCCCUCCCCACGGAGAAUUCGGAAUUCGGAAAGAAUCGAGAACGAAUCAGCCCGUUUUUUGUGAAAUUUCAAUUACGGAAUACUCGUUUGAAAAUUGCCAGCAAAAUGAUCAAGAAAUCCCUCACGCGGUGCAAUUAUCGGUGGACAUAAUGCGCGUUUCUUGGCUACGUUAAUUGUGCGAUUCGCUAUGUAUAAAACAGUACAUAACGUAUGUCCAUAUGCCGUCGGAGGCGCACAUGUGUCGCUAAUUAUAUCGCGUUGAAUCGAGCGAGAGAGAAAUAUAUAUAUAUAGAGAGAGAGAGAGAAUGAGAGAUGUAGAAAUAUACCGGGCGUUGAGAGAGGGAGGGAAAAAAGAGAGCGUCAUCACACUUUGAUUCGGUUUUUUGUCAGCUCCGUUCUCCCCCGGGCGUUACAAAUCAUGGGGGCUACCGCCUUUAGCCGGAGAAGCUCAGAAGUGUGUAGAGAAGCGCAUAAAGAGUGAGAGCUGUUUUCAACACCGCGUCUACCCGCGCGCGGCUGAAGCCGAUGCACAUCCCGCGUUACAGUAUACAUGUAUAUUGUUGUGUGCGUUGAGGUUCCGCGGGCACAAACCGUCCUGCAGGGGCAUUCCUCUUCGCGUCAUUAGCGGCGAUUUCUGGUCACUCGAUAAUAAGAGUUACGCGCUACCAAAGAGACAAACUCAGAUCGGAACUACCGCUCCCCCUCGAUCCUCUCAAUGCUCCCGACGACGUUGAUUAAAAGGGUUAACGCGAUCAUCCCCGAGCGCACGUUAUCCGGAUGCUGCGCUGCACCCGUCUUCCGAACGCGGAUGCGCGUGUAACAGUUGUUUUUUUUUUUCUUUUCCGUUCGAAUACUCGCGAGCUGCGAAUUCCAUCCAAAUUUUUAUUGUCUCUCGUUUUCCGGAGCGAAAAAUUAUGGCGAUAACGGAAUCCCGAGGUGGAAUUGUUCGAUUGUGAGACCCGAAAUCGAAGAGAAUCGUAGGCGAUUUGUGUAGCCUUUGAAAAAUCUGGCGUGCGUUGCGUGUGUAUAUUUGAGACGUGGUUGUACGGAUAAGACGAGAGUCGAUAGAGAAAUCGAUUAGUUCGGUCUUUACUGUGUCUGACAUCGCGGAGUGCCGACGAGAGGGGGGGGGGGGGGGGGGGGGGGGGGGGGAGGGAGGGAGGGCAGAAAUAUAUAGGAGGAACAACGUACGCGUAGAAUGCGCCAUGGCCACGUACCAACACGCCCGAGGAAUCUGAAGAGCUCCACUUACGAGCGGUCAAACAUCCCUACAAUUCGCCGCCCCGAGCGUAAAUGGCGUGCGGUUGUUUAUGGUUCCACGGGUCGUGCUCCGAGAUGCACCAGAAAUAAAGGAGAUCUAUGGAGGACUUUGACGUCGAUUGAGAUCUUUCGAACGAUACAAAUUGAAUAUAUUUAAUUACGAUGGAAGGUGUACUCGAAUUUGUCUCGUCAAAUAUGGCGUAUGAAUGUAAAAUGUAUAGGUAUCCGGUGUACUAAAAGUGCAGCACGUGCGCAUCGUCAACCCCCAUUUGAGUGUUAUAUAGGGAGAGUUCAUGUAGUCGGUGGCAUCGGAAAACUUUACUCUUAGGUCGAGUGCCUGCCCGUAGGUAUACAUAUAUUUCCUAGACGGGUGUAUGGGUAUAUAUACGAACAUGUAUAUCGACGGUGUUUUAAGGUUUUAAAAAAAGGGAAAGAGGAGCCCUGAAAUAUUAAGUGAGUGAUGGAUGAAGCUCCAGGGGCAAAACACACGACGGUUGAGAGGAAAAA